AGAUACUCUUUGGCGGUCUGCUAUUCGGUUGGAGAAACGCAUCGCUAUUGCCCUGUAUGCUUUCGGAUCGUCAGCGGAAUAUAGAACUAUUGGAAGUCUAUUCGGUGUAGGAAGAACAACUACGGGUGAACUGGUCAUUGAAAUCUGCAAUGCGGUUGUAGAUGUUGUGCAACACGAAGUGUUUGACGCAUACCCACCAACCUCGGAGAAGAUAUCAGAAAUAGUCGGUGGCUUCGAGAAACUGGGUUUCCACAAUUCUACGGUGCCAUUGAUGGAUGCCAUAUAGAAGUCAAAGUACCAAAAAAUGAGGCAACCGACUACUAUAACUUCAAAGGAUGGCAUUCGGUUAUUCUGUUUGCUGCGGUGGAUCAUCGUUACCGGUUCACAUAUAUCAACGUAGGAGUUGCUGGCCGUUCAAAUGAUUCAACUGUUUUUGAGAACUCCAAACUCAAAGUACACUGCACGAACGAGACAUUUAAAGCGCAUUCGAAACUAAUCGAAGGGGUUGUAGUACCGAUACUGUUGAUCGGCGAUUCGGCUUUCAGACUGUCAAACCAGGUGAUGAAGCCGUUUCUAUUUUCUGUAGAUCAGCCGGAGCAUGAAAAGUUAUUUAAUUAUCAUCUAUCAGCAUGCCGACGGGUUGUAGAGAAUGCUUUCGGCCAUCUGAAGGCCCGUUUCAGAAGAAUCGGGAAAGGUUUGGAGGUCGACCUAAAUAAUGUCAAUACAAUUAUCAAAACUUGCUGCAUUCUACAUAACCUAUGUAACAACCACAAUGACCAUAUUAACAAAAAAUGGAUGAUCCAGAUUCAAACCUUAAAUUCGAAGCAACAACCACAAAGAGGAUUGAUAGUAAGAAACGAAAACGCAUCAGCAUCCAGGAUUAGAAACGCACUGAUGGUACAUUUCGCGCGAUUAUUUGAAGAUCUUGUGCGAACUGGCCAUUUAUCUGGAGUCACCCGAUGCGCGACAACUGCCGCCACAACUUACCUCAAGAACGCUGCCUUCGCAAAUGUUGACUUCAUUCGGUUAUUGUCACCCACCACACGAACGAUGUGUAGCAACGAAGUGGACUGGUUGGGAACCGAACGGAAAACCGACGGUUGAGGGAAAAAAAGAGGGAACAAAAAAAUGAAGUUUACAUCAGCAAGCCGUGGAAUAAAGGUGACGUAUAAUUUUCAUCAAAACGAAUAUUGCAGAUUUUCUUCGUGAUUUUUUUUUUCUUGUAUGUCAUUUCAGUGUUUUGAAGACUAUUUCUCGAAGAAGUUGUGAAGUUAUUGGAGCCAUUUGUUUAGCGAGUGGAAUUCCCCGAAGAAGAUAUACGAAUUUUGAAUUUUCAAGUGUUUUUCGGUGUGUGUGAAGCUUCCCGCUGUAUUGAACCUUGGUGCAGGA